rnacentral:rRNA from 1 species
CCUACGGGUGGCAGCAGUCGAGAAUCAUUCACAAUGGGGGAAACCCUGAUGGUGCGACGCCGCGUGGGGGAAUGAAGGUCUUCGGAUUGUAAACCCCUGUCAUGUGGGAGCAAAUUAAAAAGAUAGUACCCCAAGAGGAAGAGCCGGCUAACUCUGUGCCAGCAGCCGCGGUACUACAGCGGUCUCAAGCGUUGUUCGGAAUCCAUGGGCGUAAAGCGUGCGGAGGCUGUUUCGUAAGUCGUGUGUGAAAGGCGCGGGCUCAACCCGCGGACGGCACAUGAUACUGCGAGACUAGAGUAAGGGAGGGGGAAGCGGAAUUCUCGGUGUAGCAGUGAAAUGCGUAGAUAUCGAGAGGAACACUCGUGGCGAAGGCGGGUUCCUGGACAUUAACUGACGCUGAGGCACGAAGGCCAGGGGAGCGAAAGGGAUUAGAUACCCGUGUAGUC